rnacentral:lncRNA from 1 species
CAUUAAUUAGGCUGUUAUAGUUUUCUCCUUUGAAUGGUUUUACAUUUGUGAUUUCUGGUUCUUUUAUAGCCGAUUAUGUGGUAUUAGCUUUGCUUAUUGUUGAGGGCUGUAUGGUGACCUAUGGCUGUUAUUUUUUGUGUCAUCAUCAAGUUGGUCUCUUUGAAGAGUUGUCUCAUUACCAAUCAUACCAGUCCACAUCUUUGUUUUUAUAUCAACCCCUGUCAUAUUCUUUAUGAACCUGUUUAGUGGUUGUCGUUGGUUCAUGUCUCAACUCAUAUUUGAUUUUUUGUAUAUUGUUUUGUUUUGUAUAGUUGGGCCGUUAGUUUUUUUUUAAUUUUAAUUGUUUCACAUUUCAUGGCAUUUAAUAAACGGCUUUACAAUAUCUAGUUUUGUCAUUGUUGAAGGCAUUAAGGUUGUCAAUAAUUGCUUACAUCCACUAUUUGGAUAG